rnacentral:miRNA from 1 species
ACCUUAGAGACCAAUUAAGUUUGCUCUCGGUAUAAGCUUUCGUGUGCAUGCACACUUCAGCUUAUACCCAGAACAAACUUAGUUGGUCUCUGAGGU